AGCGAACGCUGACGGCAGGCCUAACACAUGCAAGUCGAACGAACUCUUCGGAGUUAGUGGCGGACGGGUGAGUAACACGUGGGAACGUGCCUUUUGGUUCGGAAUAACUCAGGGAAACUUGUGCUAAUACCGAAUGUGCCCUUCGGGGGAAAGAUUUAUCGCCAUUAGAGCGGCCCGCGUCUGAUUAGCUAGUUGGUGAGGUAACGGCUCACCAAGGCGACGAUCAGUAGCUGGUCUGAGAGGAUGACCAGCCACACUGGGACUGAGACACGGCCCAGACUCCUACGGGAGGCAGCAGUGGGGAAUCUUGCGCAAUGGGCGAAAGCCUGACGCAGCCAUGCCGCGUGAAUGAUGAAGGUCUUAGGAUUGUAAAAUUCUUUCACCGGGGACGAUAAUGACGGUACCCGGAGAAGAAGCCCCGGCUAACUUCGUG
rnacentral:rRNA from 1 species